AUAUUUUUUUAAUUUACUCCAAUAUUUUUUUUUAUUUUUAGUUCUGUACCCUUAUUCUUCUGGUUUCCCCUUAAUUUGGACAUUAAACUUAGUUUACAUCUUUUUUUACCCAGUUGUCCUAUUCGGCCCAGUGCAGAGGGAAGGAGCAGGGAUUGCUGCAGAUGUAGACGGCAUGCAGGAAGUGCAGGUUAGAAAUGUAGGAAGUACUCCAUAUGUGCACUAUUGACAAGGGUGGUGGUUAUUUAACCCUAUAUGUGCAAGAAGUAGAGCAACACAAUGCAUUGUGAACCCCCUGCAAUUACACAUUUACCUUUACAACCUAUGAAGCUAUGAUAGGACAGUAUUCAAUAAGGAUAUCUAAGAACAUGAUUACUGAGACAGAAACUCUGGACCCAGAAAAAGAGCGAAAACUACUCGUGUUUGGCCUGAUUUUUAAUUACCUUUUGACCAGAUUAUUUCCUGCUCAUCUUUUCAAGGCAACGUAUUAAAAUACACAGCAUAUAUCAAUGGCUGUACCCGCGGGACCCUGUUCCAUGGCAGUGUCCUUCCUGCAAGGACCUUGGAAGUGAAGCGUCCCAUCUUGCUGGACCCUCCAUCCCAUGGGGCUGUUUGGAGGUGCCUGCUAGGAGUCGGGAGGGCAGAGGAGAGGGUGGAUGAUGCUUAUACCAUCACUGGGCCUGUUCUGUCUCUCUUCUCCUGCAUUAGAGAUUGGCUCUGAGAGAGGGGAAGGCGGUUGCAGCAUAAUAUUACCUUGUGAUUCUAUGACCCUCCUCUAUGCAUCCCUAACUCUCAAAAGCUGAUUCAGCUUUCAGCUUGUGCUCUGGUGACUCCGCUGCUGCAACCGACUCUUCUAUCAGGAUGUCUGACUAAGGUUAUAAAUCUGCCCAAUGCAGGGAAACCCGGGACACAUUCAAUGCCAGCAGAGGGCACAGCCUUUGUCUGUAGUGAAAUGCACGUUGCGUAUAAACCCUGCCUGCAGCACAGUCUCCACUCCGGACGCCAGAGUGAGGACUACUCUAAAGAAUCCAAAGUGGGGAAUUUGCCACUAAGCAGUUUGCCUGCUCUACCAAAUCUGUGACAUCUGCCAACCACAUCACUUCACGUAUCCUAUACGCGGAGAUUAUACCACUAUACACUAUCCAUCAUAGAGCUGGUUAAAGCUCUACUAAAUGGUCAUAGAAGGGACGCACAGUCUCGAGCACACAGCCCAGGAAUCCUACUGUUCAGACAAUAAACAGAGCCACUGAAGAGUUGAGAAAUUUCCAGCAUACAAGCCCUGGUUUCUGCAAAUGGGUGGGACCCAACGGAUGUAUAACUGGCCAAAUGUCAUAUUUGAAUAAACUCUCCAAACUUGGUUUGCAAACUAAAGUUUAUUUGGAUACAAUUUCUGCAAGUACAUUUGGUCCCCUUUUUGACCUAAAGUUGAGGACACUACAGAUUAUUUUGUGGCCGUAGACUUACCAUCACAUGUGUAUGACCUAUUAUUUAGUGGUUUAGCCUCAAAAUUGGGAAAAUACCACCACAAAGAGCAUUUGUUUUAAACAGAUAUAUUGUGAUCAUUUGGCCAAAUUUGUCUAUUAUAUUUAUUUUUCCUAUUUUACACUGAGGGAUAAAGUAAUGGAAAAGUGAUAUACUACUGCAACAUAUAUUGAUGUGGAGAUUAUUCACCUCAGGCAGCAACUACGAAUCUACUUAUGUCUAGAAGACUUCAAAGUAUACUAGAACUGCCUUUUACAAGUUGGGAUCAAACUCUUGGGAACCUCUACAAUGAAAUGUAGAAAUAAAUUGAUUAAA